rnacentral:miRNA from 1 species
UCUUGAAGUCAGAACCCGCAA